rnacentral:lncRNA from 1 species
GUGCUGAGGAGAGAGUUUAAGAUGUAUGUAAUGAUUAACAUGCACAGAAAAUUAUAACCAGGGAGGGAUUUUGAUAUUUGACUUACUCAAUUGCAGAGAUUACUAUAGUAUGUAGGUGGCUAAGAUGAAAAAAAAAAAAGAUUAUCUUUGGAUGAAGGAAAUAUGUUCUCGGAGAUUUGAGAAGUGCCAUCAAGAUUAUUUGUAAGGUUGGCAAAACUCACAGGUAAAGCUGCUUUUACAAGCAGACCACGAUUUACCCUCAUUAAAACAGGUAUACUGCUCUCUAAUUUUACAGUCUAAAUUCAUACAGGUGUUGGUAGCAGCUGAGCUCCACAACAUAACCCAGAAACUCAGGUUGUCUGUAUCUUGUCCCUCCACUAUCCCUAGGGUGUUUUUACCCUCCAAAUAGCCCAAACUCUAAUUAUGUCCAUGAAUUUGUCUGCAAGAAGCAGCAAAGAGGAAGCUUACAGCAAGUAGCUGAUGGGGAAGCAAAAAGUAGUGCAGCUCUUAUGUUCAUAGCCCAUUGGCCAGAACUUAGUCACAUGGCACAUGUGAAAAAAUGAAAAAAAGAAAAUAGUUGCUAGGAAGGUUGAAAUAUAUAGUCUCCUGCUAGUCUCUUGCUAAUAAAACUAAUGGAAUUCUUUAUUAAAAAGAAGAAAUGAAGACUGCAGAUUGGGAUUCUAAAUAAUUGGAAUAAAAUUGACAAUCUCAAAUACAAAGCCAAACUACAGGAUAAAAAAAAAAAAAAAACCUGUGAAAUAGAUGUUGAAAUCAGUGAGGAAGAAGAAUUGAAUCUUUCUCUGGCAGGUAGGCCAGUGAUUUCAGAACAACAAAGGAAGUUGCCAUAAGUAGACUGCAUGAAGUUCUGUAAAGAUAAGACCUUAGGUUCCACCUUAAGAAUAUUAAACUCUUUCUGACUUCAUGAAUUUCAGUGACUUCGAGUGGCAGAAAAUUUAAGAGAUGCAGUAUCUUCGGAGAGUAAUGACAUAUAAUCCACACAUUCAUGGAAGAAUGGAGACCUGAAGUCUUUGAAAGGGAGUAAGCAGAGAGGAAAAUAGAUGUGAACAGAUGAUCUACCUUAUUUUGGAAUUAAGAAACACUUGAAGAUUAUUCUCAGAAAUGCCAUAAGGGAUAUUUAAAAAUCUUGGAGCACACAAGAAGUACAAGAGGAAUGAAAAUGUCAUGUCUUAAUUUUCCAAAAAAGAGAAUAUUUUAGUUUUUAGUAUAUAAAGGCAGAUUAACAAACCUUCACACAAAUCUAAAUUUUAUUACUAAAUUAAUUGAUUACACUUUGUGUUUACUAGGUCACAGGGAAUUUCAGUGGGUUUACUCUGCAAAAGAUUUCAUGUGAAAUACAUUUUUCUAUUCUGAAAGGUUUUUCAAGAUUUUCAAGGCAACUAAGAAGUUUUCUAAAAAGACAGUGUUUGUAAUACAGGCUCUAUAGAAAGCAUCGUUGUGGAGGCCUCAGGAAACUUACAAUCAUGGCAGAAGGCGAAGGGAAGCAGGCACAUCUUACGUGGCUGGAGAAGGAGGAAGAGAGAGCAGAGGAAGGUGCUACACAUUUUUAAACAACCGGAUCUCAUGAGAACUCACUCACUAUCACAAGAACAGCAGGGAAAUCCACCCCCAUGAUUCUAUCACCUCCCACUAGCCCUCUCCUCCUUCAACACUGGGGAUUACAACUCCACAUAAGGUUUGGGCAGGGACACACAUCCAAACCAUAUCAUCACUAAUUAAUGUUUCUGAAAGCUAGAGUUACAUUACAACCACCUGAGGAGCUUUUAGAAAAUUACAGAUCCCUGAGCUUCCAUCUAGAUUGAUUAAAUAAAAAUAUCUGGGCUUGAAUUCCUCGAGUUUGCAUUUUUUAAACUUUGUCAGUGAUUCUGAUGGUCAAUGAGUUUUGAGAACCACCGCUCUAAACCUUUCUGAAAUUUCUUCUUGUUCUAUAAAGUGAGGAUAAUAAUAUGAUAAGGAUAUCUCUGUCACAAUUUGAUGUAAGACAUAUAAAUAACUUAACCUAAAUCAGGUUCUCAGCACUGUAUCAGCUUAUAGAAGUAGAACGAGUAUGCAUUUUGCAAAUGAGUUCCUAAUCUAGCUGCAGUAUUUCCUAGGUCUGUCACAGUCAAGUCAUAGGACUUUGGAGAUUCAGUUUCCUCAUUUCUCAUAGGACCUUGGAGCCUCAGUUUUUCU